UAGGGAUUCUUCCACAAUGGACGCAAGUCUGAUGGAGCAACGCCGCGUGAGUGAAGAAGGUUUUCGGAUCGUAAAGCUCUGUUGUUGGUGAAGAAGGAUAGAGGCAGUAACUGGUCUUUAUUUGACGUUAAUCAACCAGAAAGUCACGGCUAACUACGUGCCAGCAGCCGCGGUAUUACGUAGGUGGCAAGCGUUGUCCGGAUUUAUUGGGCGUAAAGCGAGCGCAGGCGGAAUGAUAAGUCUGAUGGGAAAGCCCACGGCGGACCCGUGGAACUGCAUCGGAAACUGUCAGUCUUGAGUGCAGAAGAGGAGAGUGGAAGUCCAUGUGUAGCGGUGGAAUGCGUAGAUAUAUGGACGAACACCAGUGGCGAAGGCGGCUCUCUGGUCUGCAACUGACGCUGAGGCUCGAAAGCAUGGGUAGCGAACAGG
rnacentral:rRNA from 1 species